UGGGAAGCAGGAGGGACCACCCUCCAAGGCUAAAUACUACCUAGUGACCGAUAGCGUAUAGUACCGUGAGGGAAAGGUGAAAAGAACCCCGGGAGGGGAGUGAAAUAGAACCUGAAACCCUGCACUUACAAGCUGUGGAAGCACAUUUCUUGUGUGACCGCGUACUUUUUGUAGAACGGGCCAACGAGUUACGUUAAGUAGCAAGGUUAAGCACUUAAGGUGCGGAGCCGUAGCGAAAGCGAGUUUUAACUGAGCGUUCAGUUACUUGACGUAGACCCGAAACCGGGCGACCUACCCAUGAGCAGGAUGAAGCGAAAGUAAAAUUUCGUGGAGGUCCGAACCCACGAGCGUUGAAAAGCUCGGGGAUGACUUGUGGGUAGCGGUGAAAUUCCAAUCGAGCCCGGAGAUAGCUGGUUCUCCCCGAAAUAGCUUUAGGGCUAGCCUCAAGGUGAGAGAUACGGAGGUAGAGCACUGAAUGUCCUAGGGGGUAUUGCACCUACCGAAGACUAUCAAACUCCGAAUGCCGUCAUCUUAUACUUGGGAGUCAGACUGUGGGUGAUAAGAUUCAUAGUCGAAAGGGCAACAGCCCAGAUCGUCAGCUAAGGUCCCUAAAUGUAAGUUAAGUGGUAAAGGAUGUGGGAUUGCACAGACAACCAGGAUGUUGGCUUAGAAGCAGCCACUCAUUCAAAGAGUGCGUAAUAGCUCACUGGUCGAGUGAUCCUGCGCCGAAGAUUUCCGGGGCUAAAACUU
rnacentral:rRNA from 1 species